rnacentral:ncRNA from 1 species
AAUUUAGCCAGUGGUUGGCUGAUCGCGAUUCAAAUAAUUUGUGCUUUGGUUAUUUGCUUGCGUCUCUAUUCUAU